rnacentral:lncRNA from 1 species
GGAAAAAAUGGGUUGUUUAAACAAUGUAUUAUUUGGAACCAGUAUUAUUGGACUAUCAGACACUACUCUAUCUCUUUUGUUUUUUCUCUCCAAAACUAAAUAUUUUUACAAUAUUUCUGUUCUGUAGAUUUCUGAUAAAAUUUGGAACUGACUUGAAUCUACCAGCUUAAAUAAAGAUUGGACUGUCAGCCACAUUUCUGUGAAGAACUGGGGACUCCUGGACGAACCCUGAUCCUGCAGGAUACAGAGAGUCAGCCACAACUGGCCAGACUGCAUGAGAAAAGGGAAAUAUUUGCAUUCUUGUGAACAUCUAUUGACUCCUCCCUUCUAUCUCUACUUUUUACCUGCCAUGAUGUGUGCAGCUUUCCACCACCACAUCCUUUCAACAUGUCACUUCUGCAUAGAGCUGACCCACCAGCCAAGGACUGAAACUUCUAAAAAUGUGAGCUUGCCAUCAUGAUCCUG